CUGUGCUGAUAGCUCAGGCUGCCCGCACCUCCCUCCUCUGUUCGCAUUCACCGCUCGCCUGUUGGGGAUAUGCCAUGCAAAAUAGAAGUGGAUGGACAUCCUUCCAUCCCGGCCAGUGCAGAGCUGGCCACAGGCUGGGCCAGGAGAAUGACCACAGGCCUCUGCUGGGGAGCGCCAGCAGGCCUCCAGGGACCAUUGAGCACAGAAGGUGGCGUCACUGGAAGAGCUUGUGCAGUCCUCCUGCCGGGAUGAUGGCCCAGUUCCGCCCUGCGUGGCUGCGUGGACCCUCUUCUGCAAAGCAAGUGACGGUGAGUCUCGCACAGUCAUCUCGCAGACAGCAGCAGCGGACAUGCAGUCAGGACAAAGGACCGCGUGAGGAAGCUUCCGUCAGCCUCAACCUGGUCUGCGCACCUGGAGAGUGGAUAUAUUUGCUUCCCUGGCAAACACGUGCGACCUUCACAAAGCUCUGAGGAGGAGACGGGACUGUGCGGACCCUGUGCAUGCAGGUUGAGUUCCUCGGACGAUAUCCUGUUAUCUGACAGCACGCUUUUGAUGAAAUAAAGUAUACGAUGCUUUGCA
rnacentral:lncRNA from 1 species